UACGGGAGGCAGCAGGGGGGAAUAUUGCACAAUGGGCGCAAGCCUGAUGCAGCCAUGCCGCGUGUAUGAAGAAGGCCUUCGGGUUGUAAAGUACUUUCAGUCGUGAGGAAGGUGUUAAGGUUAAUAACCUUAGCAAUUGACGUUAGCGACAGAAGAAGCACCGGCUAACUCCGUGCCAGCAGCCGCGGUAAUACGGAGGGUGCGAGCGUUAAUCGGAAUUACUGGGCGUAAAGGGCACGCAGGCGGUUAAUUAAGUUGAAUGUGAAAUCCCCGGGCUUAACCUGGGAAUGGCAUUCAAGACUGGUUAGCUAGAGUCUUGUAGAGGGGGUAGAAUUCCAUGUGUAGCGGUGAAAUGCGUAGAGAUGUGGAGGAAUACCGGUGGCGAAAGGCGGCCCCUGGACAAAGACUGACGCUCAUGUGCGAAAAGCGUGGGGAGCAAAACAGGGAUUAGAUACC
rnacentral:rRNA from 1 species